CAGGUUCCUUUUAAAUGAUCCAGUGUAAUAACUACUGCUUGUGUCUUCUAUGUCUCACAUUAUGUGAUAUUUUAAAUUGUGGUAUAUAGCCUGAAUCAGACAUCAUGGACAAAAGGUUUUUACAUGUGUUACUAAGGGCUCUUGGAGACUGACCGGUCUAAAGGUUUGCCAUGCCUUUAAAACAUGGUAUAGUAUAAAUUUUUUAAGUCUCUGAGAGUUCUGAAAGAUUCAGGUGAAACCAUGUCUGUUUAAUCUGGUCCAGAUGUUUGUUCAAUUUCUGUAAGAUUUAAGUUGAUGCAGCAUCAUCUCAGAUUAGUUAAUGGUAGUUUUAUACAAAUAGUUGAGUUAUGAGCGCGCUAUAUAAAUGGAUCCUUUCUUUAUAUAUAAUACUAUAGUAGAUUAAAGUAAUGAAGUUAAUUAAGAAAAUGUACACAUAAGAAUCCCUAAAAUAAAUCUAAACUAAAAUUGGUAUACCUUCCAAUAAUAUGUUCUGAAUACAGCUGUUAACUGUUUAUUCUGUGUAAAUGGUGAUUGUGAUAAUGUGUGAUAAGUGUGCAGUUUAACUUGAAAGUGGUUUAAUUUAUAUGUUGCUGUAUUGUUUUAAAUUAUAUGUGAAUCAGUUUGUCACAGUCUAGUGAUACUGAUAAGAAUGACAGCCAAAUAACCUAGCAAAUAACUGUUUUAUUAGUUGUUGAAUACUAGCGUUUUGGCCAAGAAUAGUUGGAGAUUUGGAGGUGUUAGUUUAAGAUUGCUUUUAUAUUGUGUCUAUCUGUGUUUCCUAGGAGGGAGACAGAGUGUGUAGUUGUGUGCCCAUAAAUGUGAUUUCUGUAUUGGCAUAUCUGCUGGGUACCCAUUAUGUGUUUCUACAAAGAUAUUGUUUUGUGAGAUGACGUGUAAUAUUACAUGGGAUGCUGAGUAUGAGUUAUAUGGUUUGAAAUGAAUUGGUGAUUAUGAGCUUAGUACUUCAGUAAGAUGUGCUAAUAUUUGGAACAAGGUGGAAGCUGAAAUGUUGGGAUUAUGGAAGAAUAAGCAGUCUAUAUUCACUGCUUUGGCAUAUAAGCAAGAUGCAAAGGAAGAGAUUGGUAAUAUGAUUUUUGUAAAGAAAUUUUACAAGUAUUGGAAGGAUGAGGCAGGUUUGAUGUCUGGAGAUGAUAUAGAUCUCUUUAAAAUACAGUCAUGCCUUGGUAAUAUGUUGCCACAGUAUUCUUUGCUUGUGAAACAAUUGAUUUCAGACUGGGCCAAUUUGGAUAGCUCAGAUUUUCUUACCAAGGUUAUAGAAAAGGAAAAUGCAGGUUGUUUUGAAUUAAGAAAAGAUUUAGGAAAGUAAGGUUGCUUAUUAUGCUCAGGGAUUGCAACAUAUUAUGUCCAGCUACACAGGCUGAGAGCGUGGAUGGGAUGGAGCACAUAAAGCCUGUGGAAAGGGGUGGUCAAAGAGGGGCAAGGGGAUGGAGACAGGGAAAUCAGGGUUAUAGGGGCAGGGGUAACCAAGGAGGAAUAGACAGGAACACUUGUUUCAACUGUGGCCAAUAUGGCCACUGGAGGAAUGAGUGUCCACACCCCAGGAAACCCCACACACCCCAACAACCCCACAAUUCUCAAAAUAUGCCCUGUAGGCAAGAACAACACCAGACCCACUCCCAACACCACUGGCCAGCAUAUCGCUUAGUUCAGGACUUUAGAGCCCUGAAUAGUUUAAUUGUGCCCAUUUCACCCAUUGUCCCUGAUGUGACAUCCCUCAUUACAGCCAUUCCACAUGAUGCCACUUGCUUCACUGUCAUUGAUUUAAGUAAUGCAUUUUUUCUAUACCUAUUGAUCAAGAGACACAGCUACUUAUGGUUUUUACUUUUUGAAGGCUGUCAGUUUACCUGGACACGCUUACCCAAGGCUAUGUGGAUUCCCCAGCUGUUUAUUCGUUGGUACUCCAACAUACUCUAAAAAACAUGGACCACCGGUCAUGGUUCCGUCCUUUUUGCAAAAUGUUGAUGAUUUGUUGUUAUGUAACCCUAGCUAUGAGGCAAGCACUGUGGAUACUGUCAGCAACUGUGGGUCACAAGGUUGUUAAACACAAAAUGCAAUUGUGUAAAUCAAAGGUUGAAUACUUAGGUUUUGUUCUGGCUUUAGGCACCAGACAAUUGAGUCCAAAAUGUAUUGAGGUCAUUCAGAGGAUUCCUACACCCACUACUCGGAAGGAGUUGCUCACCUUCCUCGGCAUGAUUAAUUACUGCCACCAAUGGAUCCCUGAAUGCUCCCAUUAUGACUCAAUCCUAAGGGAGGCUGUACGUUCUGAC